CGGACGGGUGAGUAACGCGUGAGAAUCUGCCCUUAGGACGGGGACAACAGCUGGAAACGGCUGCUAAUACCGGAUGAGCCGAGAGGUAAAAGCAAAAGUGCCUGAAGAUGAGCUCGCGUCUGGUUAGCUAGUUGGUGGGGUAAGAGCCUACCAAGGCGACGAUCAGUAGCUGGUCUGAGAGGAUGAUCAGCCACACUGGGACUGAGACACGGCCCAGACUCCUACGGGAGGCAGCAGUGGGGAAUUUUCCGCAAUGGGCGCAAGCCUGACGGAGCAAGACCGCGUGCGGGAGGACGGCCUAUUGGUUGUAAACCGCUUUUGAUAGGGAAGAAGUUCUGACGGUACCUAUCGAAUCAGCAUCGGCUAACUCCGUGCCAGCAGCCGCGGUAAUACGGAGGAUGCAAGCGUUAUCCGGAAUUAUUGGGCGUAAAGCGUCCGUAGGUGGUUGUUCAAGUCUGCUGUUAAAGCGUGCGGCUUAACCGCAUACCAGCAGUGGAAACUGGGCGACUAGAGUGCGGUAGGGGUCAGGGGAAUUCCCAGUGUAGCGGUGAAAUGCGUAGAUAUUGGGAAGAACACCGGUGGCGAAAGCGCCUGACUGGACCUGCACUGACACUGAGGGACGAAAGCUAGGGGAGCGAAAGGGAUUAGAUACCCCUGUAGUC
rnacentral:rRNA from 1 species